rnacentral:SRP_RNA from 1 species
UUGGGAAGCGGCGCGGGCGGUUGGUUCGCCAACCCGGUCAGGGUCGAAAGACAGCAGCCGCAACGAAUUUUACCGGGUCGUGUCCGCUUUCCACUUUU